GAUAUAGUGUUCCCUGGUUUCGUAGAAAAUUUAUAACAUGAAGUAACGUUUAUUUAAGUUCUAUCAUUGACUCUUGUCUUUCCGUCAAGCGAUUACACGGGAAAAUAACCUCUCCGUAAACUACUGUUUCGUGUCCAAUCUGAAAUCAUAUCUCCCAAUUAUCUGGUACAUGUAAGAACGUAAAUGUUAUCCAGCUAAAGAUGUCUUGUGCGAAAUAAUUUUACUACAUAUUCCGGGCGAUUAGUUGAAGGUUUGAUGAUCAACGGUUUCAUUAUCUUUCAUAUUUCCAUCAAGAUCACAGUUGACAAGAUAAUUGUUCGCGAAUUUUGUGUGCACUCUCCCGUUAGAGAACCCAUAGCAAAUACCACAGUUCCAAUUGUUUGUCCGAGUAUCACUGAUCAAUUAGGGUCUCGGAAGAUACCAGUCAGAAAGGUUCCAAGUGUCAAUCAGAGAUCUGGACCCCUUUGGUAAAACAUUAAGUCUUUCGUUGUUUGAAUAUUUUUUCAUUUCAUUGAAUUAUUCAGUUCGAGGCUCAUGGCUUAAAUUUUGAUGGCGCAGAAUCGAUGAAAAUCAUUGCUAAUUUUAUUCGGUAUUAAUUCAUUUAAAGCCAGUUUCUAUUGCCUUGUGUAACACUGCAGGCAUUCUUCCGAACAUGAGCCUCUUUCACAAGUUAACAGAAAUGCUUGGCAUUUAUUGAAGAAAUUUUGCGCAGUAGUAUUGUCAGUAUUAUUGUUACUGUCUAGCUCUUUGAAACAAAUGUUCAUCAUAGGCACCAAUUUUUCAUUACAAGGAAUCCAUGGAUUAAAAGAAUUGAAUUUGAGAAAUAGAACAUUAAUUAUUUUAUUUACUGUUACCAUCGUGUUUCUCCCUUGUUUUGUUGAGCGUAUUUUGUUAGAGACUAUCUAGAGCACGACUGUCAGAGUGCUAUCCCACAAGAAGACACAGGAGUCAUUCUAUGGCAGGACUUACUCAGCCUGAAUUAGCUUAGCUCCAGAAUUAGUCACUGAAUUUAAUCCAUUUCCGGAGGUCCCAUUGAGGAGCAGUCGAUUUCCAGGAAUGCGUACUUAAAGCA
rnacentral:lncRNA from 1 species